rnacentral:rRNA from 1 species
GACGAACCGGACAAACGUUAUUCGGAAUUACUGGGCUUAAAGGGUUUGUAGGCGGCCUUGUAAGUCAGGUGUGAAAUCCCUCGGCUCAACCGAGGAAUAGCGCUUGAUACUGCAAGGCUUGAGGGAGACAGGGGUAAGCGGAACUGAUGGUGGAGCAGUGAAAUGCGUUGAUAUCAUCAGGAACACCGGUGGCGAAAGCGGCUUACUGGGUCUCUUCUGACGCUGAGGAACGAAAGCUAGGGGAGCGAACGGG